rnacentral:rRNA from 1 species
UACGUAGGGUGCGAGCGUUAAUCGGAAUUACUGGGCGUAAAGCGUGCGCAGGCGGUUUUGUAAGCCAGAUGUGAAAGCCCCGGGCUUAACCUGGGAAUGGCAUUUGGGACUGCAAGGCUGGAGUGUGGCAGAGGAGACUGGAAUUCCUGGUGUAGCAGUGAAAUGCGUAGAUAUCAGGAGGAAUACCGAUGGCGAAGGCAGGUCUCUGGGCUGACACUGACGCUCAUGCACGAAAGCGGGGGGAGCAAACAGG